rnacentral:rRNA from 1 species
CAGCAGCCGCGGUAAUACAGAGGGUGCGACCGUUAAUCGGAUUUACUGGGCGUAAAGCGUGCGUAGGCGGCUUCUUAAGUCGGAUGUGAAAUCCCUGAGCUUAACUUAGGAAUUGCAUUCGAUACUGGGAAGCUAGAGUAUGGGAGAGGAUGGUAGAAUUCCAGGUGUAGCGGUGAAAUGCGUAGAGAUCUGGAGGAAUACCGAUGGCGAAGGCAGCCAUCUGGCCUAAUACUGACGCUGAGGUACGAAAGCAUGGGGAGCAAACAGGAUUAGAUACCCCCGUAGUCCCUGUCUCUUAUAA